GACGAACGCUGGCGGCGUGCUUAACACAUGCAAGUCGAACGGAAAGGCCCUGCUUUUGUGGGGUGCUCGAGUGGCGAACGGGUGAGUAACACGUGAGUAACCUGCCCUUGACUUUGGGAUAACUUCAGGAAACUGGGCUAAUACCCGAAAGGAACCCCCGCUUGCUGGUGGGGGGUGGGAAGGUUCGGCGGUUGGGGAUGGACUCGCGGCUUAUCAGCUUGUUGGUGGGGUAGUGGCUUACCAAGGCUUUGACGGGUAGCCGGCCUGAGAGGGUGACCGGCCACAUUGGGACUGAGAUACGGCCCAGACUCCUACGGGAGGCAGCAGUGGGGAAUAUUGCACAAUGGGCGGAAGCCUGAUGCAGCAACGCCGCGUGCGGGAUGACGGCCUUCGGGUUGUAAACCGCUUUCGCCUGUGACGAAGCGUGAGUGACGGUAAUGGGUAAAGAAGCACCGGCUAACUACGUG
rnacentral:rRNA from 1 species